GACCUAUUAGCUUGCUUGGUUAGAGCAUUGUGUUAAUAACGCAAAAGUCAUAAGUUUGAAUCUUGCAUGAACCA
rnacentral:tRNA from 1 species